UACGAAGGGGGCUAGCGUUGUUCGGAAUUAUUGGGCGUAAAGCGCACGUAGGCGGAUUUUUAAGUCAGGGGUGAAAUCCCGAGGCUCAACCUCGGAACUGCCUUUGAUACUGGAGAUCUUGAGUUCGGAAGAGGUUGGUGGAACAGCUGGUGUAGAGGUGAAAUUCGUAGAUAUUAGCUAGAACACCAGUGGCGAAGGCGGCCAACUGGUCCGAUACUGACGCUGAGGUGCGAAAGCGUGGGGAGCAAACAGG
rnacentral:rRNA from 1 species